rnacentral:rRNA from 1 species
UACGAAGGGUGCAAGCGUUAAUCGGAAUUACUGGGCGUAAAGCGUGCGCAGGCGGCUUUGCAAGACAGAUGUGAAAUCCCCGGGCUCAACCUGGGAACUGCAUUUGUGACUGCAAGGCUAGAGUACGGCAGAGGGGGAUGGAAUUCCGCGUGUAGCAGUGAAAUGCGUAGAUAUGCGGAGGAACACCGAUGGCGAAGGCAAUCCCCUGGACCUGUACUGACGCUCAUGCACGAAAGCGUGGGGAGCAAACAGG